CGCAUGGUUCUAUUUUGUUGGUUUCUAGGACCAUCGUAAUGAUUAAUAGGGAUAGUUGGGGGCAUUCGUAUUCAAUUGCUAGAGGUGAAAUUCUUGGAUUUAUUGAAGACGAACUACUGCGAAAGCAUUUGCCAAGGAUGUUUUCAUUGAUCAAGAACGAAGGUUAGGGGAUCGAAAACGAUCAGAUACCGUUGUAGUCUUAACAGUAAACGAUGCCGACUAGGGAUCGGACGAGGAUUUUUAAUGACCCGUUCGGCACCUGAAGAGAAAUCUUUAAGUCUAGGUUCGGGGGGGAGUAUGGUCGCAAGGCUGAAACUUAAAGAAAUUGACGGAAGGGCACCACCAGGAGUGGAGCCUGCGGCUUAAUUUGAUUCAACACGG
rnacentral:rRNA from 1 species